UGAACGCUAGCGGCAGGCUUAACACAUGCAAGUCGAGGGGUAUAGUUCUUCGGAAUUAGAGACCGGCGCACGGGUGCGUAACGCGUAUGUAAUCUACCUUUUACAGAGGGAUAGCCCAGAGAAAUUUGGAUUAAUACCUCAUAGCAUAGCAGCUUCGCAUGAAGCCACUAUUAAAGUCACAACGGUAAAAGAUGAGCAUGCGUCCCAUUAGCUAGUUGGUAAGGUAACGGCUUACCAAGGCUACGAUGGGUAGGGGUCCUGAGAGGGAGAUCCCCCACACUGGUACUGAGACACGGACCAGACUCCUACGGGAGGCAGCAGUGAGGAAUAUUGGACAAUGGGCGCAAGCCUGAUCCAGCCAUGCCGCGUGCAGGAUGACGGUCCUAUGGAUUGUAAACUGCUUUUAUACGAGAAGAAACACUCCAACGUGUUGGAGCUUGACGGUAUCGUAAGAAUAAGGAUCGGCUAACUCCGUGCCGGCAGCCGCGGUAAUACGGAGGAUCCAAGCGUUAUCCGGAAUCAUUGGGUUUAAAGGGUCCGUAGGCGGUUUAAUAAGUCAGUGGUGAAAGCCCAUCGCUCAACGGUGGAACGGCCAUUGAUACUGUUAGACUUGAAUUAUUAGGAAGUAACUAGAAUAUGUAGUGUAGCGGUGAAAUGCUUAGAGAUUACAUGGAAUACCAAUUGCGAAGGCAGGUUACUACUAAUUGAUUGACGCUGAUGGACGAAAGCGUGGG
rnacentral:rRNA from 1 species